AGGGAGCGAGUGUGAGGCAGCGUUGGUGUCCUGCCUUCCCCUGCCUGCUGGCUUCGCAUUCCGAGAACAGAGUCAACCCGGCAACCAUGAAGAAGCUCUGGCUACUCCUGGUGGCUCUCCUGGCUUGUGUGGGGACUACGGUUGCUACUGUCGAUGGAAAGAACCUUCAAGAUUUGGAUGCAGCAUCCCGUUAUUGGCCCUGCUUUAAAAAUUACUACGGAUGCCAUUCUGUCAUUGGUCAUUUGGUCCCUCAGAAGGAUGUUGAACUGAUUCCAGAGCAGCUGCCCCAGCCGACCUUGUGGUCCAUCUUGAAGGUCCCAAGGCUGGAACAGGAGGCUCCUGUGUCGAGUGCCAGGUCCAAGAGGAGUGUGAAGGCGGCCCCAGCACUGGGGAGGCGCAGGAAGCCCUGGGAGCGGCGUGUCUGCAGGGGCUGCUAUUCGGGGCUGAUGAUUUUAGGGCCCCCUCCCCAAGGAGGCCAAAACGAGAGCCUGGUGCUGAGUUACUCGGACUCCAGCGAGAAUUCCAGCGAAGGAAACUAGUCUCCUCCUCCUCCUGCAGGGCCACCCCCAGACCAGAGUCUGAAGAAGCCCAAACCUCCGACGGACCUUCUGAUGGAAACGCAAGACACCGAAACGCAAGCCCCAUGCAAAGUGGGGGUGGGGGGAGUCCAGCUCCAGAAGCAAAUGGGGCAAGCAGGAGGUGGGGCUGGCUCUCCCACCCCAGCCAUCGCCUGUCCUCCUGCAGCUCUUCCCCCCAAGCGCUUUUGGCCAGUCAAAAGGGCAAAGGGGCCUCCUCUUCUUCGGUCCUGCGUCCAGGGUCGGCCCAUCCACUAGGCAGAGCUAGGCAGUUGUCUUGGGCACCCAGGUUGGGGGUUUUUUUGGGGGGGUGUGUGCUUGCAUGCCUCCCUCUCCCUCCAAGCAACCACUGACAUGUCUGACUUGCUGGGAGUGCCCAUUCCCUCCCCUCCCCAGAGAGCGAGUGGGGCAGAGGCGCCCAAGCAGGGGCAAACAAGUGAGCAAAGCCAAGCUUGCCUCCCUUUGCUCUCUCCUGCCCCGAGCUCUCCCCAGUUAAAACGGGGGCCCCGCACUGCUUGGCUGGGGGUCCAGCUUUGCCUGGGCCACCUCUAAGCCUCGGACUGGCCCUGCCUGCCUUCCUCCCUUGCACACCCCUUUGGCUCAGCCCGGACUCCGCCCCCCCCAGCCCCGCCAGCCCCCUGCACCUUUCAUAUGAUCACGGCAGGCCGAGGUGUCAGCAGUCAGAUCAGCCACCGUCGGCUCUCGCAUCACUCGCCCGCCUCCUGAGCCAGAGCGACUCCCCCUCCAGGAGCCUUGGCCUUUCCAGCUGUGGCGGGAGGACAACUCUCGCCAUCCCAGGAUUGCUCACUGAAGUCCAACAACAGCUGGAGAGCCAAGGUGGCCCACCCCUGCCCUACCGCCUGUUCAUCGGCAGCAGAACGAAGGCCCGGAGGCUGCUCCCGGGUGGUGUGCAGCCAACACGCCUAGGCUGGGCACGGAGCCUGCAGCUGCCACACCUCACCCCCCAUUCAUGCCUUCAUCCUGCCCAAGGCAAGAUCAGCCGGGGCGCCUGCCUCCCUCCCUCCCCAGGCAGGCAAGUUGCCCCAGCAGCCAGGAGCGGUGUGGCCGUGCUUUUGGCACUGCAGCCGCCUGCAAGCCACAGCCCAACCUCCCCUUGCAACGAUUACUUUGGACCGUGCACGGCCGUUGGCCAGCCUUACAGGAUGUCACCUGUUUUGUCCCCAGCCCCAGUGGGAAAGGCCAGGUCCUCAGCCUUGAUUGUCUGCCCAGCCAGAGCUGGCAUUUGGGGACCGAAAUGCCCCAGAUGUCUUCUGAACGUAUUCAGAGGGCUGCCAGCAAGGAGCAGAGGCUUCCAGUGACAGUGUGGAGGGACUCCUUCAUGGCAAAGCCAAGGAAUUCCCUUUCAUUCUCUCCGAGUGAGUCGCAGCUCGUCCCAGCGGGGGCUGCCGCCCAAGGAGGCCCAGCUGCCUCUGCUUCCCGGCCGCAGCUGGGGUUGCUUGCUCCUCUCCGUCCUGCCCUGCUUGAGAGCCCCGCUGCCUGAAGGUUGGCAGUGAAUCCCGCCAUGCUACCGGGCAAGUGGCCGGCCUGCAGGCAGUGCAGAAGGAAAAGGAACCCGCAAUCCGGGCGGCAGCGGCGGCUGCUGGGAGGCAGAGGCAGCUGUGCCUCCUUGGACGCCUCCUGGCUUGCGCUGCUGCUCAGAGCAUUAGCCACACAGGCCCGAAACCUUUCUCAUCGAACCACAGAAGGCUGGUCUGCAUCAUCUAGAUUUUAAAUUGUUUGAAUUGUGUUAGUGUUUUAAUUAUUGUGUUUUAAAUUGUAAGCUGCCUGCAGAUUUGUACAUGGGGUGGUAGAGAGAUGUGCCAAAUGAAUGAGCAAAUAAAUAAUACUUAUUAUAUGUUGCCAACAAUCACACAUCAGCAUCAGGACUGAUGGUUCGAAUAAUAAUAAAAAAAUCAAAUGGA